AUAGCAGCCAUGCUGCCCACAGUCCCAAUUAGGUCAUACUUCUGAAGCUAAGCAGGUUUGGGUCUGGCUGGUACUUGGAUGGGAGACCAUCUAAAAAAAGCUGGGCUAUC
rnacentral:rRNA from 1 species